rnacentral:rRNA from 1 species
UACGGAGGGGGCUAGCGUUGUUCGGAAUUACUGGGCGUAAAGGGCGCGUAGGCGGGAUGGCAAGUCGGUCGUGAAAUCCCUCGGCUCAACUGAGGAACGUCGAUCGAUACUGCUGUUCUUGAGGAUUGCAGAGGAGACUGGAAUUCCCGGUGUAGCGGUGAAAUGUGUAGAGAUCGGGAGGAACACCGGUGGCGAAGGCGGGUCUCUGGGCAAUUCCUGACGCUGAGGCGCGAAAGCGUGGGGAGCAAACAGG